GAUGAACGCUAGCUACAGGCUUAACACAUGCAAGUCGAGGGGCAGCAUGACGAGAGCUUGCUCUUGUUGAUGGCGACCGGCGCACGGGUGCGUAACGCGUAUCCAACCUUCCCCCUGCCAGGGAACAGCCCGUUGAAAGACGGAUUAAUGCCCGAUAUAUAUUUAGACGGCAUCAGAAGAGUAUGAAAGAUUUAUCGGUAAGGGAUGGCGAUGCGUAGGAUUAGGUAGUCGGCGGGGUAACGGCCCACCGAGCCUACGAUCCUUAGGGGUUCUGAGAGGAAGGUCCCCCACAUUGGAACUGAGACACGGUCCAAACUCC
rnacentral:rRNA from 1 species